GGUUAAGCGACUAAGCGUACACGGUGGAUGCCCUGGCAGUCAGAGGCGAUGAAGGACGUGCUAAUCUGCGAUAAGCGCCGGUAAGGUGAUAUGAACCGUUAUAACCGGCGAUUUCCGAAUGGGGAAACCCAGUGUGACUCGUCACACUAUCAUUAACUGAAUCCAUAGGUUAAUGAGGCGAACCGGGGGAACUGAAACAUCUAAGUACCCCGAGGAAAAGAAAUCAACCGAGAUUCCCCCAGUAGCGGCGAGCGAACGGGGAGGAGCCCAGAGCCUGAAUCAGCAUAUGUGUUAGUGGAAGCGUCUGGAAAGGCGCGCGAUACAGGGUGACAGCCCCGUACACAAAAGCGCAUGUGCUGUGAGCUCGAUGAGUAGGGCGGGACACGUGGUAUCCUGUCUGAAUAUGGGGGGACCAUCCUCCAAGGCUAAAUACUCCUGACUGACCGAUAGUGAACCAGUACCGUGAGGGAAAGGCGAAAAGAACCCCGGCGAGGGGAGUGAAAAAGAACCUGAAACCGUGUACGUACAAGCAGUGGGAGCACCCUUUGGGGUGUGACUGCGUACCUUUUGUAUAAUGGGUCAGCGACUUAUAUUCUGUAGCAAGGUUAACCGAAUAGGGGAGCCGGAGGGAAACCGAGUCUUAAUUGGGCGUUAAGUUGCAGGGUAUAGACCCGAAACCCGGUGAUCUAGCCAUGGGCAGGUUGAAGGUUGGGUAACACUAACUGGAGGACCGAACCGACUAAUGUUGAAAAAUUAGCGGAUGACCUGUGGCUGGGGGUGAAAGGCCAAUCAAACCGGGAGAUAGCUGGUUCUCCCCGAAAGCUAUUUAGGUAGCGCCUCGUGAAUUCAUCUCCGGGGGUAGAGCACUGUUUCGGCUAGGGGGCCAUCCCGGCUUACCAACCCGAUGCAAACUGCGAAUACCGGAGAAUGUUAUCACGGGAGACACACGGCGGGUGCUAACGUCCGUCGUGAAGAGGGAAACAACCCAGACCGCCAGCUAAGGUCCCAAAGUCAUGGUUAAGUGGGAAACGAUGUGGGAAGGCCCAGACAGCCAGGAUGUUGGCUUAGAAGCAGCCAUCAUUUAAAGAAAGCGUAAUAGCUCACUGGUCGAGUCGGCCUGCGCGGAAGAUGUAACGGGGCUAAACCAUGCACCGAAGCUGCGGCAGCGACGCUGAUGCGUUGUUGGGUAGGGGAGCGUUCUGUAAGCCUGCGAAGGUGGCCUGUGAGGGUUGCUGGAGGUAUCAGAAGUGCGAAUGCUGACAUAAGUAACGAUAAAGCGGGUGAAAAGCCCGCUCGCCGGAAGACCAAGGGUUCCUGUCCAACGUUAAUCGGGGCAGGGUGAGUCGACCCCUAAGGCGAGGCCGAAAGGCGUAGUCGAUGGGAAACGGGUUAAUAUUCCCGUACUUGGUGUUACUGCGAAGGGGGGACGGAGAAGGCUAUGUUGGCCGGGCGACGGUUGUCCCGGUUUAAGCGUGUAGGUGUGUGUUCCAGGUAAAUCCGGUUCACUUUAACACUGAGGCGUGAUGACGAGGCACUACGGUGCUGAAGCAACAAAUGCCCUGCUUCCAGGAAAAGCCUCUAAGCAUCAGGUAACAUCAAAUCGUACCCCAAACCGACACAGGUGGUCAGGUAGAGAAUACCAAGGCGCUUGAGAGAACUCGGGUGAAGGAACUAGGCAAAAUGGUGCCGUAACUUCGGGAGAAGGCACGCUGACAUGUAGGUGAAGUGAUUUACUCAUGGAGCUGAAGUCAGUCGAAGAUACCAGCUGGCUGCAACUGUUUAUUAAAAACACAGCACUGUGCAAACACGAAAGUGGACGUAUACGGUGUGACGCCUGCCCGGUGCCGGAAGGUUAAUUGAUGGGGUCAGCGCAAGCGAAGCUCCUGAUCGAAGCCCCGGUAAACGGCGGCCGUAACUAUAACGGUCCUAAGGUAGCGAAAUUCCUUGUCGGGUAAGUUCCGACCUGCACGAAUGGCGUAAUGAUGGCCAGGCUGUCUCCACCCGAGACUCAGUGAAAUUGAACUCGCUGUGAAGAUGCAGUGUACCCGCGGCAAGACGGAAAGACCCCGUGAACCUUUACUAUAGCUUGACACUGAACAUUGAGCCUUGAUGUGUAGGAUAGGUGGGAGGCUUUGAAGUGUGGACGCCAGUCUGCAUGGAGCCGGCCUUGAAAUACCACCCUUUAAUGUUUGAUGUUCUAACGUGGACCCGUGAUCCGGGUUGCGGACAGUGUCUGGUGGGUAGUUUGACUGGGGCGGUCUCCUCCUAAAGAGUAACGGAGGAGCACGAAGGUUGGCUAAUCCUGGUCGGACAUCAGGAGGUUAGUGCAAUGGCAUAAGCCAGCUUGACUGCGAGCGUGACGGCGCGAGCAGGUGCGAAAGCAGGUCAUAGUGAUCCGGUGGUUCUGAAUGGAAGGGCCAUCGCUCAACGGAUAAAAGGUACUCCGGGGAUAACAGGCUGAUACCGCCCAAGAGUUCAUAUCGACGGCGGUGUUUGGCACCUCGAUGUCGGCUCAUCACAUCCUGGGGCUGAAGUAGGUCCCAAGGGUAUGGCUGUUCGCCAUUUAAAGUGGUACGCGAGCUGGGUUUAGAACGUCGUGAGACAGUUCGGUCCCUAUCUGCCGUGGGCGCUGGAGAACUGAGGGGGGCUGCUCCUAGUACGAGAGGACCGGAGUGGACGCAUCACUGGUGUUCGGGUUGUCAUGCCAAUGGCACUGCCCGGUAGCUAAAUGCGGAAGAGAUAAGUGCUGAAAGCAUCUAAGCACGAAACUUGCCCCGAGAUGAGUUCUCCCUGAGACUUAGAGUCUCCUGAAGGAACGUUGAAGACGACGACGUUGAUAGGCCGGGUGUGUAAGCGCAGCGAUGCGUUGAGCUAACCGGUACUAAUGAACCGUGAGGCUUAACCUU
rnacentral:rRNA from 1 species